CCCUCACCUGAGGAGGUUUUCUCUCCCUGGAGACUUUGCUCAGCACACAGGCAUGACUUGGCUCUGGUGUGAGAAAUGGAAUGCCAGUGCCAGGAGGAGAAUGCCAAGUGGGGCACUGGGAUGGGUUCUGCCCCGGUUUCAGGAGGGACUGGUUGCAGGACAUGGAUGCCACCACAUCAACCAGGCUGUGCCUGCCCUUGGGAGCAGCUGCUAAUAAAUAUCAUCACUCCCAGGCAGAGAGCUCAGCUGAAACGUUUAGAUGCAGAAUUAAGUCAGGCACUGAAAGAAAAACACAACCCAGAGAGCUACAUCUGCAGCAUUCCUCAACCUUCUGAUGUUCAAGCUUCAAGGGAAGACCAUCAGGAUGGUUUGCAAGGGAGACUUGCAGAGCAGUGUGGCUCCCAGGAUGGAUGCCUUGGGCAAGCAGAAGCCAUCUCCUCCUGCUUUGGACAUCAAGAUGGUUUGCAAGGGAGACUUGCAGAGCAGUGUGGCUCCCAGGAUGGAUGCCUUGGGCAAGCAGAAGCCAUCUCCUCCUGCUUUGGACAUCAAGAUGGUUUGCAAGGGAGAUUUGCAGAGCAGAGUGGCUCCCUGGAUAGAUGCUUUGGGCAAGCAAAAGCCAUCUCCUCCUGCUUUGGACAUCAAGAUGGUUUGCA